rnacentral:rRNA from 1 species
CACGUAGGGCGCAAGCGUUGUCCGGAAUUAUUGGGCGUAAAGAGCUCGUAGGCGGUCUGUUACGUCUGCUGUGAAAACCCGGGGCUUAACCCCGGGCCUGCAGUGGGUACGGGCAGACUAGAGUGCGGUAGGGGAGACUGGAAUUCCUGGUGUAGCGGUGAAAUGCGCAGAUAUCAGGAGGAACACCGGUGGCGAAGGCGGGUCUCUGGGCCGUAACUGACGCUGAGGAGCGAAAGCAUAGGGAGCGAACAGG